CUCCAGGUAGCCUAGUGGUGAAGGCUAUGGAUCGCCAAUCCGGAGACGGCGGGUUCGAUUCCCGUUCCGGUCG
rfam:Aedes albopictus isolate Foshan contig43455, whole genome shotgun sequence.